rnacentral:rRNA from 1 species
AAAUUGUUGAAAGGGAAGCAUUUAUGACCAGACUUGCGCCGGGCAGCUCAUCAGGGGUUCUCCCCUGUGCACUCUGCCCGGCUCAGGCCAGCAUCGGUUCUCGUGGGAGGAUAAGAACAGUGGGAACGUGGCCCCCCUCCGGGGGGGUGUUAUAGCCCAUUGUACGAUACUCUCGUGGGGACCGAGGUUCGCGCUCCGCAAGGAUGCUGGC